rnacentral:rRNA from 1 species
GACGAACGCUGGCGGCGUGCUUAACACAUGCCAGUCGAACGGACAGGCCCUGCUUUUGUUGGUUUCUCGUUUGCCGAACGGGUGAGUAACACGUGAGUAACCUCCCCUUGUCUUUGUGAUAACUUCAGGAAACUGGGGCUAAUACCGGAUAUGAGCUCCUGCUGCAUGUUGGUGGUUGGAAAGUUUCGGCGGUUGGGGCUGUACUCGCGGCUUAUCAGCUUGUUGGUGGGGUAGUUGCUUACCAAGUCUUUGACGGGUAGCCGGCCUGAGAGGGGGACCGGGCACAUUGGGACUAAGGGAGGGAGCAGAAUCGAACGGGAGGCAGUAGGGGGGAGUAUGGCAGAAUGGGGGGAAGCGUGAUGCAGCAACGCUGCGUGCGGGAUGACGGGCUUCGGGUUGUAAACAGAUGUCGCCUGUGACGAAGAGUGAGUGACGGUACUGGGUAAAGAAGCAACGGCUAACUACGUG